rnacentral:lncRNA from 1 species
AAGAGAACCUGUCUCAGCUUCCCAAAGCGUUGGUAUUACAGGCAUCUUUCACCCUGAAGUCACGGGAACAACGCUGAGGGGCAGCCAGAGAUUAUGUGGGCUUUUCCAUGGGAAGAACCACUCUACGUUAUCACCUUCUACAUAGUAGCAGUUGAAGCCAAAUGGACAGAAAGCCCGAGACAACAUGAAGUUGUUCUACAAGUUAUUUUGGAGAAAUUGACUUACC